GCGCUGCCUUCAGCAGCACAUAUACUAAAAUUGGAGUGAUACAGCGAUUAGCAUGGCCCCUGUGCAAGGAUGACACGCAAAUUCAUGAAGCGUUCCAUAUAAAA